rnacentral:rRNA from 1 species
AUUGAACGCUGGCGGCAUGCCUUACACAUGCAAGUCGAACGGCAGCGGGCCUUCGGGUGCCGGCGAGUGGCGAACGGGUGAGUAAUGCAUCGGAACGUGCCAUUGAGUGGGGGAUAACGUAGCGAAAGUUGCGCUAAUACCGCAUAUUCUGUGAGCAGGAAAGCAGGGGACCGCAAGGCCUUGCGCUCUUUGAGCGGCCGAUGUCAGAUUAGCUAGUUGGUGAGGUAAAGGCUUACCAAGGCGACGAUCUGUAGCGGGUCUGAGAGGAUGAUCCGCCACACUGGAACUGAGACACGGUCCAGACUCCUACGGGAGGCAGCAGUGGGGAAUUUUGGACAAUGGGGGCAACCCUGAUCCAGCCAUGCCGCGUGAGUGAAGAAGGCCUGG